rnacentral:lncRNA from 1 species
CAAGACAAAUCCAAAUAGAAUAUAAGAAGUUAAUGACCGAUUACCAUAGCAGUAUACCAAUACAAUCCAACCAAAUAGAAUAUAAUAAGUUAACGACCAAUUACCAUAGCAGUAUACCAAUAUAAAGGUACAUCUUAGUAUAAAGUACAUAACAAAGAAAUCAAACUCAACCACAGUAACGACGGCGGCGACGGGCAGGUAAGACCUCAUCUACUGAAUCGUCAUCAUCAUAGGUAACGACGGCGGCGACGGGCAGGUAAGACCUCAUCUACUGAAUCGUCAUCGUCAUAGUGGCGAUUCCUCCUUUUAGAUUGAGGUUGCUUUGGCAAGACCUCGUCUAGUGAAUCAUCAACAUAGUGAGGAUGUCCUCUUUUGGCUUGACGUUGCUUUGGUAAGUCCUCAUGUAACGAAUCCUCAUCACUGUCAUAGUGAGGAUGUCCCUUUUUGGCUUGACGUUGUUUUGGCAAGUCCUCAUGUAACGAAUCCUCCUUAUCAUCAGAGUGAGGAUGUCCCCUGUUGGCUUGACGCUGCUUUGGUAAGUCCUCAUGUAGCGAAUCCUGAUCAUGAUCAUCAUGGCGAGGAUGUCCCCUUUUGGCUUGACGUUGCUUUGGUAAGUCCUCAUGUAGCGAAUCCUCAUCAUCAUCAUAGUGAGGAUGUCCCUUUUUGGCUUGACGUUGCUUUGGUAAGUCCUCAUGUGAC